CUGCACUCCAGCCUGGGCGACAGAGUGAGACUCUGUCUCAAAAAAAAAAAAAAAAAAAUAGGUAUUAGUUUGCUAGAGCUACCAUAACAAAAUACCACAGACUGGGUGGGUUAAACAACAGAAAUGUAUUUCUUCACAAAUCUGGCGUCUGGAAGUCCAAGAUCAAGGUGUUACCAGGAUUGGUUUCUUCUGACACUUUUCUCCUUGGCUUCUAGAUGGUCAGCUUCUCCUCCCUAUGUCUUCACAUAAUCUUCCUUCUGUGUCUGUCUGUGUCCUAAUUACCUCUUCUUAAAAGUAUACCCCAAUGACUCAUUUUAACUUAGUUACCUUUUUUUUUUUUUUUUUUGAGACAGAGUUUUGUUCUUUCGCCAGGCUGGAGUGCAGUGACGCGAUCUUGGCUCACUGCAACCUCUGCCUCCUGGGUUCAAGCAAUUCUCCUGCCUCAGCCUCCCAAGUAGCUGGGACUACAGGCACACGCCACUAGUUACCUCUUUAAAGACCCUGUCUCCAAAUACCAUCACAUUCUGAGGGACUGGGGGUUAGCACUUCAACAGACGAAUUUUAGGUGUACUCAGUUCAGCUUGUAACAAUAUCCGUGUUGCAAAUCAGUUGACCAUAGACACAUGGUUUUAUUUCUGAACUCUCUCUUCCAUUUCAAUUGAUCUCUAUUUUAUAUGCUAGUACAACACUGUCUUGAUUGCUCUUGCUCUGUAGUAAGUUUUGAAAUUUGGAAGUGUGGGUCCUCCUACUUCUUCUUCUUUUUUUUUUUUAGAGAUUGUUUUAGCUAUUUUGAGACCUUUGCAGUUCCAGAUGAAUUCUAGAAGCAGCUUUUCAACAUCUACAAAUAAGUCAGCUAGUGAUUCUGAUGGGGAUUGCAUUCCGUCUGUGGAUCAAGUUGUGGAAUAUUGCCAUUUUAACAAUAUUAAUCUUUCAAUCCAUAAACAUGGGAUGCAUUUCCAUUUAUUUAAAUCUUUAAUUUUGGCCAGGCCUGGUGGCUCAUGCCUGUAAUCCCAGCACUUUGGGAGGCUGAGGCAGGCAGAUCACUUGAGGCCAGGAGUUUGAGACCAGCCUGGCUAACGUGGAGAAACCCCAUCUCUACUAAAAAUACAAAAAAACAGCUGGGCGUGGUGGAGUGCACCUGUAAUCCCAACUACUCCGGAGGCUGAGGCACGAGAAUCGCUUGAACCCAAGAGGUGGAGGUUGCAGUGAGCUGAGAUCGCGCCACUGCACUCCAGCCUGGGUGACAGAGCAAGACUUUGUCCCCAGACAAACAAACAAACAAAACUUUAAUUUCUUUCAACAAUGUUUUUUAGCUUUCAGGGUAUAAACUUUGGACUUCUUUUGUUAAAUAUGUUUGUAUCUUAUUUUUCUUUAUGCUAUUGUAAAUGGAAUUGUCUUCUAAAUUUUCAGAUUAUUCAUUGCAAGUGUAUAGAAAUACAACUUUUUUUUUUUUUUUUUUUGAGUCUCUUGUUGCCCAGGUUGGAGUGUAAUGGCGCGAUCUCGGCUUACCACAACCUCCGCCUCCCAGGUUCAAGCGAUUCUCCUGCCUCAGCCUCCCAAGUAGCCAGGAUUACAGGAACACUUGUGUCAGGUUUCUAUUUCAGUAACCAUAAUCACUAAUAACUAAGGGAACACAAAAGUCCAUCAAUGAGAAGUCAUCUCUUAACUGUGGAAGGCCAGCAGUUAAUAUACUGGACCACAAAAUGAAAUCAAGUGAUGCAAGUUCUUCCCUCAAUCUAAGAACCUGCAGAAUACCAAGACAAGUGUUUCAAGAAUCAUCCAGAAAGGUCAGUUUUAAACUAUAUGUUUAAAGCAGAAACAUUACUUGGCAUGGGGCUUUCUAGGUAAAAAAGGAAGACAUAAUAUAAUUGGCUUAGAUCCUAAGAGUUUUUCUUCUCUUUAUUUGCAAGAUAAGUUGAUUAACUUCAAUUAUUAAUAGCCAAAACUUGUGCCUCCUAAUUAGAUCUAUACUCUAGUGAGAUAUAAUCUCAUAAUUAAGCACCCAAAGUUUUUGUUGUUAAAAAAAAUUAUCAGCCAAUAAUAAAACUUUUAAUGACUGUA